CUAAGGCUCCAGAGGAAGCCACGGCUAACUCUGUGCCAGCAGCCGCGGUAAUACAGAGGCGGCAAGCGUUGUUCGGAAUUAUUGGGCGUAAAGAGCACGUAGGCGGCCUUGCAAGUCAGUUGUGAAAGCCUUCCGCUUAACGGAAGAAUGCCAGCCGAUACUACAGGGCUUGAGUACGGGAGGGGAGAGUGGAACUUCUGGUGGAGCGGUGAAAUGCGUAGAUAUCAGAAGGAACGCCGGCGGCGAAAGCGACUCUCUGGCCCGAAACUGACGCUGAGUGUGCGAAAGCUAGGGGAGCAAACGGGAUUAGAUACCCCGGUAGUCCUAGCCGUAAA
rnacentral:rRNA from 1 species